rnacentral:rRNA from 1 species
CACGUAGGGGGCGAGCGUUGUCCGGAAUCAUUGGGCGUAAAGAGCUCGCAGGCGGUCGUUCAAGUCGAGUGUGAAAGCCCCCCGGCUCAACUGGGGAGGGUCACUCGAUACUGAUCGACUCGAAGGCAGGAGAGGGUAGUGGAAUUCCCGGUGUAGUGGUGAAAUGCGUAGAUAUCGGGAGGAACACCAGUGGCGGAAGGCGACUACCUGGCCUGUUCUUGACGCUGAGGCGCGAAAGCUAGGGGAGCAAACGGG